CAAAAUCAGUCCUCCAAUGCUGCUUGACAACAUCAAAAACUGUGGGAUGUUACACCCAAAAAUUUAAAAAUCUAAAAGGCUUCAUGACAUUAAUCACUUCCUCUCCACAAGAUAGUACCAUAGGGGCACGAUCUGAUCCUGUUUUUGUAAGAUGCUCAACUUCAAUCUGAGCAAAUAAUUCUUAAAAUAAAGGGGUAGCUAGAAUUCUGUCCAGCCUUUUAAAAAUGCAAUUCUCAGCUGCCCUUCCAUCCGACCAUGUAAAUGGACUUCCUUUGUAUCCCAGGUCAAAAAACUCACAAGAGUUUAUACAAAAUGCAAAGUUCUCACAUUAACUGGCAAACCCCCCAAUUUUUCCUCUUCUAAUAGAAUGACAUUAAAAUCGCCUCCCGCCAUCCAUGAUAUGUCCACGGUACAAAUCUUCCCAUAAAUCUUGUUUUUCUCCUUACAUUUGGCAUAGACUAAGGUGGCAAACAUCUCUUUUCCAACCUCUGGAGUUAACUUCGAAGUUUAGUGCUGGUUAGAGUUCAUUAGGAUCUCCCAUUGUACUGCUUCAUCAAGAAAAACCCAUAUUUUUCCAUUAUGAUUUGCUAUGGCUGAUCCCAUUCCCAAUCUUCUUUUGUACUUCUGAAGGUGUCUACAAUUUUGAAAAGGUUCCAUCAAAGCUACCACGUAACACUUAUAUUGCCUUUGAAGCAAAAUAAGUCUCUCUCUCAAAAGCCUGUUGUGUGUUAACCGACCUAAUAUUUCAAAUUAGAGAUUUUAUCAUCAUUUGGAUUUGGAGACUGCAGUUCAACCCUCUUGGCCUGAAUGAUGUCCUGAUUCUUUUUAAUCAUAAUAAUUUAUGUAAAGAAAAAAUACAAUAGAGCAUUAUGGAAUUAAAAGAAGUAUGAGAGGGGAAAUGUAUGUUGAUAGAAGUGGACUUAUAAAGGGGAGCAAUUCUCUUUUACAAUUCUCUUUUAUUAACCUAUAUACUUGGACCUAAAUCCUAAUCUUCUUCUCCUCUAUCUAUCUCAUCUGUAUGAUUUUCUAAGGUAAAAGAAAAGAAUGGAAGAGUACACGAUGAAAUUGGAACUGAUCAGACAUAUGCUUCCUCUAGUUCGGGGACAAAAGCAACAGAUCAUCGAACGAGUGUUGAAGCCAUUCAGAUGAAAAAUCAGGCCCUUGCCUAUGUUUGUAAAGGCAUACUAAGAUCUCACUAUCCAAGAUUACUAGUAUAUUUCGAAGAGUGUACAUACUUGUUAUAGCAACUAGAGUAAUGACAACAUAAUUGAAGGAGUUGAAACGGACGGGGAUACCCUGAUCCGGUUAUGGGUUGCACAAGUUUUUUUUGAUCCAAAGUUGGGACGGAAAAUGGAGGUUGUGGCGAAUGAACAUUUUGAGGACAUGUUUAAGAAGAAAUUCAUUGUGCAAUCUAGAUUUGACAUGGGCAUGGACGGCACAAGAAGGAUGAAGUACAAGGUUGAUAAUAUUAUUGUGCCCACAAGUUCAUACUUGUGGGUACAGGAAGCUGAACUGAGUAGUACUGAUAGAGAGGUCCAACAUUUGCUGUUACUGUCUGAAAACUUUGAUGAAGCCACUUUUAAAACUCUGAAAAGUUUCAAGCGAUUGCACACUCUUGUAUUGUUUUGUCAGAAUGGUGAUUCAAUCAGGCAGGUGCCUUAUGAUCUUUUCCUUAAGCUACAACACUUGAGAACUUUGGAUUUGCAUGCAACUGGCAUAUCUGAUUUGCCUGGCUAUAUUUGUUAUUUGUCAUCUUUGCAUUAUCUUGAUCUCUCUAAGACACAAAUCAGUUACCUUCCUGAAUCUAUAGGUAGUCUUUGCUUUUUACAGACAUUGAAGUUGCAGAGAUGUUUAAAUUUUUAUAGUUUAGUACAUUGUACCAGCAAGUUGAUUAAUUUGCGUCAUUUGGAUCUUGACAUUCUUGGCCAAUUAACUAGAAUGCCUAUUGGAAUGGGUAAUCUGACCAGCCUUCAAACACUAAAAGGCUUCAUUAUUGGCAAGGGAAAAGGCUAUGAUGCGAGAGAGUUGAAGCAUCUCACUGAUGUUUGUGGGUCAUUUUGCAUUUCAAGACUUGAGAAUAUUUCAAGUGUUGAAAAGGCUAGAGAAGUUGAUAUGAGUAACAAGAAACAUAUCAAUAAGUUAAGAGUUGCAAUGGCAACGUCAUCAAGAUGAUUUGGCUUUAGUUGACGAGAUAUUUGAAUGUCUUCAGCCUCAUUCUAGCCUCGAAGAAUUGCAAAUAUCCUUCUACAAGGGCUCUAGAUUUCCUACAUGGAUGAGUAAUUCAUAUUUGUCCAACAUUGUCAGCAUUACUCUCUUUGAGUCUGAUAGUACUAGCUACAUGCCAUCGCUUGGAGGUUUACCGGUGCUUAAGUAUCUUUUCCUUUUUCACAUGUAUGGGGCAAGAUCUAUUGAUCAUCACUUCUGCAGAUUUGAAGGGAGUCAAAUAGGAGCUGCAUUUCCAAAGCUUGAAAAAUUAAAAAUAGAUGGAAUGCCAAAACUUGAAAAAUGGACAGGUGUUGAGAGUGGGGAUUUUCCGUGUCUCAUUCAGAGUUAUCAGUGUUACGCUGCCCUAAACUUAUCGCAGUUCCCAUGUUUUCACUUCUCAACAGUCUCAAAAUUUUGGAAAUUUGUGAUUGUGAUGAGCUUCAGUCAUUUCCUGAGGGAAAACUUUCAUCAAAGCUGGAAUCUCUUUUUAUAGCAAAUUGUCCACUAGUAAAGAAAUGUUGCCUUAAAACUCGAGGUGAGGAUUGGUCUAAGAUUGAACACAUACGUUCAAUCUUCAUUGAUAAUAAGGAGAUGUCUUCAAAGCCAAAUGUGGAUCAAGAUCUCUAAAAUGGUGGUGAAGUUGAACAAGGGGACGAAAGAAGAGAAGACACGACUUAGGAGGAUUAGGUUGAUGUUUUUUAAAAUUGAAAACUUGUGAGUUCCACCUCUUGAAUGGCAAACAUUAUUUGCAUAUUUUGCUUUUAUGGAUAUUACCUGACCUCUUUGAUCUUGGAUUAUUAUUUUGGUAUGACGUUGGAUCAUGAAUUAUUUUUUUGAUAUGA